rnacentral:rRNA from 1 species
GAUCAUGGCUCAGGAUGAACGCUAGCUACAGGCUUAACACAUGCAAGUCGAGGGGCGGAAUGGUCUUAGCUUGCUAAGGCUGAUGGCGACCGGCGCACGGGUGAGUAACACGUAUCCAACCUGCCGUCUACUCUUGGCCAGCCUUCUGAAAGGAAGAUUAAUCCAGGAUGGCAUCAUGAGUUCACAUGUCCGCAUGAUUAAAGGUAUUUUCCGGUAGACGAUGGGG